GUGGGAAAAAAAAAAACCAACUGAGUAUCUUGGCUGCUGAGCGGCCCUGUAGAAAAACAAGAAGAACAAGCAAAAAAACCAAGCUGCACUCAGCAAAUCCUGCGAUCCAGGGGAAUCGUACAUUUACCUUAUCUUAGCCAUCUCCCUGUGAUUUUAUUACAUAGUAAUUAUACCAUUAUUCAUAUCAUGCUACAAAUGCAUCAGUGCAAGCAAAUUCAAGACUGUAACUUCUAACGUGUGCUGCAAACUGCACAGCAGUUAUGCGACUGCUGACUGAGACCUUAGCUCCUUACACAGCUCCAAGGAGAUACAGUGAGAAAAGAACUGCUACUUUUUGCUUGGCUCCUGGCGUGAAGGGGACAAGACUGCCAGUAAAAGGUAAGGUGUAUUCCACAGAUUCCAGUUCAAGCACAGAACUGGGCAGUCUUUCAGCAAACGUGACUCUGGGACAAGACAAACUGCAACAAGCCCCUCUCGUGCGUUCUUUCAGGUCUGCUCCACUGAGGACCCGAUGGCAGCCCUCCCACAACGCUUCUAGGAAGCCUUCACGCACUUCCUUCUUUGCUUUCCCCACGCCAGCCACGAGCUAGCUCUGCCAGGACACCCUGAGCCCACAUUUACCACAGCUAUUCUGUUGUGUCACAGCCAUUUGCUGAAAAAGGGGAUGACGGGGUCACAGAAUCACAGAAUGCCAGGGAUUGGAAGGAACCUCGAAAGAUCAUCUAGUCCAGUCCCCCUGCUGGAGCAGGAACACCUAAACUAAGUCACCCAGGAAUGUGUCCAGGCAGGUUUUGAAUGUCUCCAGAGAAGGAGACCCCACGACCUCUCUGGGCAGCCUGUUCCAGUGUUCUGUCACCCUCACCGUGAAGAAGGGUCACCGCAGCCACUGCUGGGACAAUGACAAAUCUGUAAAGUUGCACUGGCAUAGCUCCUGGGAAGUCAGAGUGGGGAAGGGGAAGUGGGGCUGGGCUAAACGUUUGAUUCUGCUAUCUGUUGCUGUCAUAUGAGAAAUGCUGUCAUAAGAAAUUGCAAAAAUAGAGGUCAAGGCAGGAGGAGAUGCAAGAAACGUUGUACUCCUUUCCAAAUCUCUGCAUUGUUCCAUGUAUACCUAAGGCUGAAAAACUGAACUUUGUCAUUUACACAGUAUGCUAACAUUUAAAGUAUGUAAAUAUAUAUGCAGAUUUCUUCAUUUUGGCAUAUGAAAUAUCAGGUGAUAAGACAGACAAAUUGACUCAAAAUCAUUUGAGAAUCAAGGUACAUUUAUAAUAACUAUACUUUCUUUAGUCAGGUGUUCUGCUUGGAACGUAUGUAUCUGAACUGUUUCUGUGCAUCAGAAUACUUCAUGUAAAAGUCAUUUACAGUUUCAGCAGGAACUGAAAUUUAAACAUAAAUUUAUUCUUCACCUUUUUGUGCCUGUUAAAUCCAAAGCGUUUGGCAAUUACAGAGCCUAUAAAAUACAAUGAAUUUGAAGGUGAAUCCUCCAAUUAGUCUUAAAUAGUUGUAAUUCCAUUUGAAGUCAUAUAAGUCUAACUUGAGCAAAAAUUUUGCUAUACUCGUAUAUGCACUGACUUUUUGAACCACAAAUGAGACAUAAUUACCAUAGGAUCGUUGUUGAUAUAUUACCUGCCAUCUGGAGAGACACAAAAUAUUCGUUCUGAUGUGCAAAUGUGUUUGUGCCUUUACCAGCUAUUACUUUUCAUUUAAAAACAUCAUAAAAUACUACAGUGGAUUUAUCUGUUGCUGGUGAAAGAAAAGGAGAUAACUGAUGAAAAUAGUGAGACAAUAUAAACUUCCACGGUAGACUAUUCACUAUUCACAGAAAAGAUCGGUUCCUUCUAAUAGAGUAUAUUAAUUUUCCUAAAAGCACACUUCACAAUAAACUAUAGAAACUUUGUAGCAGUGGUAAUUAAUUUUAAUCUGGAAUGUCGAAGUUGUAAAACAGACUACUGGGAAAAAGACUUCAUUGCAACUCUUGCUGAAGAUGGUAUUUUGUGUGGAAUAGCCCCUGAGCAUCAUUGGUUAUGAUACUCUGAGGUACUGCUCUUUGAAUAUUUUAGGGAAAAGUGUGUCUCAGGUCCAUCUUCCAUUUUUUUUGAGAAUGACUUUUGCUUAGAAGCAAAGUUGUAGAAGUUUACUCUUAGCACUGAAAUUGAGUAGAACUUAAGAACUUGCUAACAAUCAGUAAUAGCAGAAGAAAAUGAGAGUAGUGGUACCCGAUGAAGAUAUUACUUCCUCUUCUUACAAACUACAAUGGACAGAGAUAAUAACCAUUCUAAAGAUUACAUUGGUAAUUGUUUAGAUUAAAUAUUAUGUUGAGACUUUUUUCCUCCAUCCUUUGUAUGAAUUACAAGAAUGAUAGUGGAAUAUCAUGUAGAAUAAAAUGAAGAGUAAGUAUACAUAAUUAAGAAUUCUGAUCAUAUGAGGAACUAAUGUACAGUAUGAACUUGCACUACUUAGAAGAGCAUUAGUUGUUUAGAAUAAUUAAAUGGAUUAAAAAUAGAUGUACAAAAUCUCACAUUCUUUUCUCGUAUUUAACAAUAUGGUAUGUUUUCAGAAUUAAAUCAAGAUGUUUGUUUGCAUAGUAAUACUUUUGCCAUUUAUCAACACAAUUAGAAAUGCCAAUACAUUAGACUGCAGUUUUUUCUCCUGAAGCCUCAGGAGGAUCAGUGGUGCCCCAUAAGUUUCUGCUUCUCUCUAAGAGGAGCCUAAGGCUACUAGCUCAAAUUGACAAAUCUCACCUCUUCAGCAGUCAGAUACCUUCAGUGUAAGGGGAUGGCUAAAUGGAGGUUUUCAGCUAGUCAUUUUGAUCUAAGUUUAAAACUGACUGCACAGUAAGACUGGGACUGAACAAAGAUCCAGAUGUUAAGCAGAGGAUGCAUUUCAGUCUGCUUAAGUGGAAUAAGAUGGACUUGCAGGAGCAGGUAGAAGGAGGAAGUGUCAAAUUUAGGGACAGUAAGCAUAACAGUCUUGCACAUAGUCUCAGCAAUAAAAAGAAAGCAGCGCAUAGCAAUUACUGACUUAGUGAUCCUUUUCUUAUUAAUUAUUUCUUAAAGGUUCGGAACAUAAUUGAGAACUGUGUCAUAAUGCGCUCUGAGCCUGAGUCAAAACUGUGGUCCGUGGAGUGGGCACAUGUGAAUCAUCAAAGAAGGGGUUCAAGACACAGCUCUCAGCAGGUACCUAAGGAUGGCUGGCCUUCAUCCCAAGGCUUUCAGAUCUCAGAUUUCCUGACAAACUGUCCUAAUCUUACUUGGCUCAUGAAUCCACACACACACCUUUAAAAAGAAAGUAAGCAGAGGCCACAGCCCUUCCUUUAUUCAUCAUUUUGGGUGAGCCAGACUUAAAGGAUCCAGGCAACAGAUGUGACUGAAGAUGUUCAGCCACCGCUGGAGAUGAGCCACGCCACACUGGUGAAGGGGAGAGGUUAAUCUUCCAAGAACAGAGGAUGAGUGCCCAUAGCACAGCCGCCUUUACAGCUCAAGUCUGUCUUUUGGAUUGUCUGAGAAUCCUUGUUUGAGUGAAACACCAGAAUUUGGUGCCCUAAAUGUCUUUUUUUUUUUCUUUUUUUUUUCUGAGCAAAUAGUGGAACAAUAGCAGAGUGAAAGAUUUAACAGAAACCUUUGGUGCUGAGCUGUAUAAGCUGGAAAUACUGCAUAUCCCAAUUAAAUACAAGCAGGCUGUUUGAACUGCUCUGUUUCAGUAAGCAAGCAGUGUAUCACAGCAACACCUGAGGGUGCUGCUUUGAUCACAGCCUGUCAGCAAUUCCACCGAGCACUUUGUUUAUUAGAGGUUGGCUGAAGAAGAUCCCUAUAUGCUGAAAUUUAAGUGCAAACAGUGACAGUCAGCAGUAAAGGGAAUCAGGGUAAUAGCAUCUCACAGAGUAGUACUCCUCUGUGGUAUUUUUGUUUUAAAAUCUGAGGGUUUUUUCAUUCCCAAAAACAAAAGUUUAUAUAUCAUCUCAAAAGUGCAUUAAUCCUUACUGCGUACUGAAGAAGAAAAUCAAACAUCUGAAUUAUUAAGAGAGGUGCUUGAAUGGCUGAAAAACUACUCAUCAAAUUUUCAUCCAUUCAUUUUGUACAGUUUUCAGGACACAAACGAAGCAUUCCUCAUCCUGUCUUCCUACUGGACUCUAAGAUGGUUAAACCACAUCUAGCUGGCACAGCAGACCGGGUGGGGGAGAGAAGAGAAAGGAAGUGUCACAUCCUCUGCUGUGAAUAGCUAACACGCUAGCAGCCACGCUGUGAUGAAUGCUUAAAUCCUUCCUCUGCCUGCUUUGGAGCAGGGGCCUGGGAUUGGGCCCUUCUGCUGUGUGCCUUAAUCAGUGGGUCUCACUGCCCGGGUCUCUCUCAGGCUUCCCUGCUGAAACUGCUCUGCUUUGUACAAACUAAUUAAAUAUUCAGAGGAUUGGAGUGAAAAGGGAUCUGUGGCUUGGGGUGGGGGUGCUCAUCCAGAAGGCCUGCUUCUAGUCUCUGCUGCCAUGAAUAUUUAAUUGCUUUGUACAGAGGGGAAGAGUUUCAAAAGGAAUCCCUGAAAUUUCUGGCUCGGCAGCUUUGGUAUUUAACAGAGGAGAGCGAGCCUUGGGUUGGAGCCCCUUUUCGGUAUUAGGCAGCAGAUGGUAUUCAGAAGUAAAACCCCAAGAAAUGCUUUGAACCACUUUGCUCUCCUUGACAUAAUUUCAGAGCCCAUGUGUGAGAUGUGGCAUUCACUGGUAGGUACCAUUUGUAGUUACUCAGCUGAGUGGAAGGAGGCCUGUCUGCCCACCCAAAUUAGCUCUGCAGCACAUCUCCUAUAGACCUGUGCAGCCAGUGCCAGGCUUUCCUUGCUGGUACCGCAGCACUGCAACUCCCUCCAGGCACCACAUGAGGAGAGCAAGGUACUCACCCAGCUGUGCAAUGCAUAAGGGACAGAGGGGAGAUAAAAUUUCAGCACUGCAAUGUCUCUACAGCUAAGUGCCUCUGAGACUUUUUGCUUUGGGGCUGUCAUUUAGUAAUGUAGUUUUGCACCUACCUGACAAGACUUUAGCUGUUGCCUUCGGCAGCAGCGAGGUUGUUUGCUUGCUUCUGGUAAUGCACAGCCUGCAAAGCGCACAGGGUCUGAGUGGGUCCCCUCAGGUCAGCAUGGGAACACAGUGCUGGUCAGCUUGCAUUGCAAUAUUCUUGGUACUGUAUUUCUCUUUAAGAGCACUAAGGAUUCUUUGUCACUGCGAUAUGUGUAUAAAAUGGAGAAAAAAAAAUCUGCUUGUAGGUGUUUGGCCUGUUGUGCUGGGAUUGCAACAACCUUCCCUAUAUAUUUUUAUAACUGCAUAGGAAAGGUAACCAUGUAUCAUAGAAUCAUAGAAUGGUUUGAGUCAGAAGGAACCCCUAAGAUCAUCUAGUUCGAACCCCCCUGCUACAGGCAGGAACACCUC